rnacentral:rRNA from 1 species
AUUGGACGCUGGCGGCAUGCUUUACACAUGCAAGUCGAACGGCAGCGCGGGCUUCGGCCUGGCGGCGAGUGGCGAACGGGUGAGUAAUACAUCGGAACGUGCCCAGUAGUGGGGGAUAGCUCGGCGAAAGCCGGAUUAAUACCGCAUACGACCUGAGGGUGAAAGCGGGGGAUCUUCGGACCUCGCGCUAUUGGAGCGGCCGAUGGCAGAUUAGCUAGUUGGUGGGGUAAAGGCCUACCAAGGCGACGAUCUGUAGCUGGUCUGAGAGGACGACCAGCCACACUGGGACUGAGACACGGCCCAGACUCCUACGGGAGGCAGCAGUGGGGAAUUUUGGACAAUGGGCGAAAGCCUGAUCCAGCAAUGCCGCGUGUGUGAUGAAGGCCUUCGGGUUGUAAAGCACUUUUGGCGGGAAAGAAAAGGACUGUGCCAAUACCACGGUUCGAUGACGGUACCCGCAGAAUAAGCACCGGCUAACUACGUG